GACGAACGCUGGCGGCGUGCUUAACACAUGCAAGUCGAACGGAAAGGCCCUGCUUUUGUGGGUUGCUCGAGUGGCGAACGGGUGAGUAACACGUGAGUAACCUGCCCUUGACUUUGGGAUAACUUCAGGAAACUGGGGCUAAUACCGGAUAGGAGCUCCUGCUGCAUGGUGGGGGUUGGAAAGUUUCGGCGGUUGGGGAUGGACUCGCGGCUUAUCAGCUUGUUGGUGGGGUAGUGGCUUACCAAGGCUUUGACGGGUAGCCGGCCAGAGAGGGUGACCGGCCACAUUGGGACUGAGAUACGGCCCAGACUCCUACGGGAGGCAGCAGUGGGGAAUAUUGCACAAUGGGCGGAAGCCUGAUGCAGCAACGCCGCGUGCGGGAUGACGGCCUUCGGGUUGUAAACCGCUUUCGCCUGUGACGAAGCGUGAGUGACGGUAAUGGGUAAAGAAGCACCGGCUAAAUACGUG
rnacentral:rRNA from 1 species